CUCUCAUUUUAUUAUUUGCUCGUUAAUUGCUAGAGACUAGCAAUAAGCUAGUUGGGGGGUGUGAUGAGAGCACAAAAGUGUGAUCUACACAUCACUUAAAUUAGUAUUAUUGCUAACAAAUAAUGAUAAAAGUGAUGUAUUAAUAUUAUAUUUUUGUGGGGUGCAGGUGAUCGGAAAUCAAAGCUAAAAUGCACAUUGGGUCCAAAAAUAUGCAUCACUGCAGGUGACCAGCCAACCGCAUGUGUCAACCAUAGUUGCACACUAAAAGGAGGUCAAGUUCAGCCGUCCACUUCAUCGCAGCUUCAGUCUUCUGUGUGAGCCCAAGCAUCUGAGCCGCGUGCAGUCCAUCCGCCCGCGUGGAAGAAUCGCGAAGCAUCCUCCACGUCUGCUUCUCCCGAGCGUCCCAGCGUGCGACCCCUCAUCCCGUGUGCGUGCAACCUCCCAGUCCUUCGCAUCUGCUUCAUCCGCGAGAUUACACCGCGUCCCAGCUUCCUUCAAGCAUCCAACCAUGAUCCCAGGACCCAUGUAGCGUUGCAGCCGUCUGCAAGUAUCUCCAGAUUUCAUCCAUCCGAGUCCCAGCCUCUUCAGAUACCAUCCACGAUGCUUGCGGAGCCCACGAUGCAUGCCAAGCGUUCACAAUCUCCCGAGCAACUCGCUUCCCAGCGAUUUUCCAGCAAGUCCCGACUUCAUCCCAGCGUCCACGCUCCUCCCUUCCGAUCCAUCUGCCUCUUCCACGUUGGAUCCACUCGCGUGUAAUCUCCCAGCAGAAUUUCCAGCCGCAUCCAGCCAUCCGUUUCAGCUUCUUGGCAUUCCUAGCUUUAUCCCAUGAUUCACAUCCCAAAUUUCAGGAGCUUUUCCAACUUCUCUCCACAUCCCAGCACGUCUUAGCCUAUUCCCAGCCGUCCACGAUGCAUCCAGAUUCAUCCCAGUCGGCCAUCAAUUCCAAGGAUCAGCGUGUGGGAGAUUCUCUAGUUCAAAAGAAAGGAAACAGAAUGCCGCGUGAAGACAUCUCAUCCCGAACAUCCAUCUCACGCACUCCCAGCUAAUUGCAUGCGAUCCACAGCAUCCUGAUUGAUUUUCUUCCGGAUUAGCAUCCAUCCGUUGAUCUCCACUGCGAGAAAUCAGGGAUCCAUCGCAGCAUAUAGAGGAGUUUUCUCAGCUAGAACGGGGGAUCUCGUUUUCAUUCGAAAAAACAGAGGAGAGUUUCAGCCAUUUUGAAAGAAAAUAAAAAGGGAGGAAGAAACAGGGCAUCCCCUGUUUUUCUGAAAAGAAAAAGAAAAGAAAGAAAUGAUGAGAGGGAGGAUAAUGUUUUUAAUGGAAGGCUAAAAUCCUAGGUGAUGGGUGGAGGAAGAUCCUUUGAUGUACCGAGUUCAUGAUGUAAAUUCUAAUCCUUUGCUUUAUACGAUUUAUCUUUUGAUUAUGUCAUGAUUCUUAUAUGUUGAAAAUUCUUUUAUGAUUUAUGCUAAUUGAUACAUGUCUUCCUCGAUUAUUUGAUUCAUCGUUGACGUUAUAAGGCACGUUGAAUACUUAGAAAGAGAAUUCGUGUUAUCAAGAACAUACUUCAUAAUUAAAUUUUAUCUGCUUAUAAUUCUUAAAGAAAACAAAAGAAUCAUAGAAUUUAUCGCAUGAAUUUGAUAUUAUCAUAGGAGAUUCUGGAUCCCUACACCAUCUUAAUCUAUCUAAACUUCGAUUCUCUAUUUACUGAUUUAUUUUCUAUUUGCAAAACAUCAUCUUAAUCCACAAAUUUAUUGAAUUAAUUAAUCUAAAAUUAUACUAAAUAAUCUCAUAUCUAUUUCGUUUCCUGAGGAUUCGACCUCGGACUUCCGAGAAUUUACUACUUGUACGAUUCUCCUAUACUUGGGAGAUUAGUUUCGUGAAAGCAUUUCGUUCCUUUGGCUCCUUAGCAAGAGCUAUGGCGCCAUUAUUAUCGCAGUAGAGUGUUAUAGCAUCUGAUGUCAUCACGUCCAACUUUGCAAUGAAUUUCUUGAACCAGAA
rnacentral:lncRNA from 1 species